UCAAAAACAUAGCCUUUAGCCCCACAAGUAUUAAAGGUCCCGCCUGCCCAGUGACUCUUUAAACGGCCGCGGUAUCCUAACCGUGCAAAGGUAGCAUAAUCACUUGUCCCUUAAAUAGGGACUGGAAUGAACGGCUAAAUGAGGAUUAAACUGUCUCUUGCGAGCCGGUCAAUGAAUUUGAUUUUCCAGUUCAAAAGCUGGAAUAAACACAUAAGACGAGAAGACCCUGUGGAGCUUCAAAACCUAGUUCACCAAAUAAUGCUUCCUUCGGUUUUUAGUUGGGGCGACUUCGGAGCACAAAAAAACCUCCAAAACAUGUAAACCCAUUAUAUUAAGAUCAACAAACCACAAAACCACAAGAUCCAGCAACAGCCCUUAAUGUUGUCUGACCAAUGAACCAAGUUACCCCAGGGAUAACAGCGCCAUCCCCUUCUAGAGUCCCUAUCGACAAGGGGGUUUACGACCUCGAUGUUGGAUCAGGACACCCCAAUGGUGCAGCCGCCACUAAAGGUUCGUUUGUUCAACGAUUAAAGUCCUA
rnacentral:rRNA from 1 species